CCAGACUCCUACGGGAGGCAGCAGUGAGGAAUAUUGGGCAAUGGAGGCAACUCUGACCCAGCCAUGCCGCGUGAGUGAAGAAGGUUUUCGGAUUGUAAAGCUCUUUCGGAUGUGACGAUGAUGACGGUAGCAUCUAAAGAAGCCCCGGCUAACUUCGUGCCAGCAGCCGCGGUAAUACGUAGGUCCCGAGCGUUGUCCGGAUUUAUUGGGCGUAAAGCGAGCGCAGGUGGUUUAUUAAGUCUGGUGUAAAAGGCAGUGGCUCAACCAUUGUAUGCAUUGGAAACUGGUAGACUUGAGUGCAGGAGAGGAGAGUGGAAUUCCAUGUGUAGCGGUGAAAUGCGUAGAUAUAUGGAGGAACACCGGUGGCGAAAGCGGCUCUCUGGCCUGUAACUGACACUGAGGCUCGAAAGCGUGGGGAGCAAACAGGAUUAGAUACCCGAGUAA
rnacentral:rRNA from 1 species